rnacentral:rRNA from 1 species
UACAGAACACGGAAUGCCUUAGUAGCGGCGAGUGAAGCGGCAAGAGCUCAAAUUUGAAAUCUGGUACCUUCGGUGCCCGAGUUGUAAUUUGAAGAAAGCAAUCUUUGAUUUGGCCCUUGUCUAUGUUCCUUGGAACAGGACGUCACAGAGGGUGAGAAUCCCGUGCGAUGAGGUGUCCAUUUCUUUGUAAGAUGUUUUCGAAGAGUCGAGUUGUUUGGGAAUGCAGCUCAAAGUGGGUGGUAAAUUCCAUCUAAAGCUAAAUAUUGGCGAGAGACCGAUAGCGAACAAGUACUGUGAAGGAAAGAUGAAAAGAACUUUGAAAAGAGAGUGAAAAAGUACGUGAAAUUGUUGAAAGGGAAGGGUAUUCGAUCAGACUUGGUAUUUAGCUAUCAUUAAUUUUCGUGAUUGGUGCUCUAGCUUUUUACUGGGCCAGCAUCAGUUCUGGUGGCAAGAUAAUUACAGUUGAAUGUGGCUCCUCGGAGUGUUAUAGCUUCUGUAGAUAUUGCCUACUGGGACUGAGGUCUGCGGCUUUGCCUAGGAUGCUGGCGUAAUGAUCUAAUACCGCCCGUCUUGAAACAUGGACCAAGGAGUCUAACGUCUAUGCGAGUGUU